UUUGGAUUCUGGGUGUAGAUUGAUUGUUGUUGAAGCACCACUAUUUGUGUACUAAAAAUUGUAGUCAGGUUAUUGUGUUUCUUUUCCUUUGACUAUUUGAGUAGCUGACAGAAAAUUGUUGUCAAUUUUAGUUUGUAGAUUACAUCUGUUUUAGGCAUUUCUACGACUGCAACUAAAUUUUAUAGUCAGGUUAUUCUUUGUUAUAUAUUUUAUUCUGCUGAUAUUCUAAUAUCUUGGUCAGUUGGAUUGUGCUCAGAACUCUUUUGCAGUUGAAUCACUCAUUUCCUGUGUUUGCAGGACUGUUGUUUACAAAGGACAACUGAAGCCAGUUCAGUUGAAGAAUUACUAUUAUGCUGAUCUUGGUGAUGAAAGGUUCACAAGUUAUAUGGCACUGGUAAAUACUCUUACAUUCUUCUUAAUGCACAGUCUGCAUUUAACAGCAAGCUGCUUGGAGAAGUCUCUCGUAGCAGAACAAAAAAUCCCGUUGCACUGUUCACUGUGGUCUGUACUUCAGGAAGCUUCCAAUACGGAGGUGGAAAGAGAAUAAUAUAUAGUAAGAUUAUUGAGUUGCUUUGCUCUUAUGCGGGUACACUCUAGGUUCUCAACAAAUACCUUUCCUAGCUGGGAUCGUGCUCAGCCCAUGCGCAUCUUGGGUCACAACGGAGAGAUUAACACACUUCGAGGCAAUGUUAACUGGAUGAAGGCGCGUGAGGGUCUUCUAAAGUGCAAAGAGCUGGGAUUGUCAAAGGAUGAGAUGAAGAAACUUUUACCCAUUGUUGAUGCUAGCUCUUCUGAUUCUGGUGGGUUCACUUAAAUAUUUUUGUGAAUAAAGUCCUACAGGUUACAUUUAAAUACAGGCUGUAAUCCAUAUGUUUUUUUUUUCUUUCAUGGUAUGAGAACUUGUUGUCCUUUUGUGUACAAACUACUACAUGUAAGCCACAGUAUGUGUAUCAUUAGUGUCAGCUUGCCGUUAUGCUUUUUCUUUUCUAACGGGAAAAGAGGGACAG